AACGAACGCUGGCGGCGUGCUUAACACAUGCAAGUCGAACGCGAAAGGGACUUCGGUCCUGAGUAAAGUGGCGCACGAGUGAGUAACGCGUAGAUAACCUGUCUUCAUGUCUGGAAUAAUACGCCGAAAGGGGUACUAAUACCGGAUAUUCUUGCUUUUCAUAAGUUAUGCAAGCAAAGGUGGCCUCUGCAUAUGCUACUGCAUGAAGAGGGGUCUGCGUACCAUUAGCUAGUAGGUGGGGUAAUGGCCUACCUAGGCGACGAUGGUUAGCGGGUCUGAGAGGAUGAUCCGCCACACUGGCACUGGAACACGGGCCAGACUCCUACGGGAGGCAGCAGUGAGGAAUAUUGCGCAAUGGGGGAAACCCUGACGCAGCGACGCCGCGUGAGUGAGGAAAAGGCCUUCGGGUCGUAAAGCUCUGUCAAGAGGAAAGAAGUGUACAAUGGCUAAUACCUGUUGUAUUUGACGGUACCUCUAAAGGAAGCACCGGCUAACUCCGUGCCAGCAGCAGC
rnacentral:rRNA from 1 species